rnacentral:rRNA from 1 species
UACGGGGGGGGUAAGCGUUGUUCGGAAUUACUGGGCGUAAAGGGCUCGUAGGCGGCCAACUAAGUCAUACGUGAAAUCCCUCAGCUUAACUGGGGAACUGCGUGUGAUACUGGAUGGCUUGGAUUUGGGAGAGGGAUGCGGAAUUCCAGGUGUAGCGGUGAAAUGCGUAGAUAUCUGGAGGAACACCGGUGGCGAAGGCGGCAUCCUGGACCGGCAUUGACGCUGAGGCGCGAAAGCUAGGGUAGCAAACGGG